rnacentral:tRNA from 1 species
GGAGAGCUGGCCGAGUGGUCGAAGGCACCUGACUCGAAAUCAGGCAUACCGGUAACGGUAUCGUAGGUUCGAAUCCUACGCUCUCCGC